GCCGGGGUAGCUCAGUGGUAGAGCGUCAGCCUGAAGAGCUGAGCGUCGUUGGUUCGAUUCCGACCCCCGGCA
rnacentral:tRNA from 1 species